UUAAUAAGAGGAUUAUUAUGUUUUUAAUUUUAUUUAAAUUAAUAGAAGUAACUUUGUUUUUAGUAAUUUUUACUGAAAUAAUAAUUGGGAUGAUAGUUAAAAGUACUGUGAAGGAAUUUUUUAUUUUAGUUGAAGUAGUUUUAGUUUGGCGUACCUUUUGUAUCAGGGUUGAUUAAGUUUUUUUAUUUAUUUUUAUUUCCCGAAGUUGAGAGAGAUAAAAUAAUGUGGUAUUCAGUGUUGCAUUACUGUUUUUAACAUUAUUUUAGUAAUGAUAUGUUAUUCGUUCUUUAAUAUCUGGUUUUCUUAGAAUUGAAUUGGAUUCUGGGCUGUUAAUUGUUUAAGUUUAUUUUAUUAUAUUUAAGUUUGUACAGGUUUAAUGUUAUCGGGGAUAAGCUCGGUGGUAAUUUUAUAAUUUUUGUUUUUAUAAGGUUUUGUAGGCUUGAUAACAGCCAUCAUUAAUUCCGUUAUAGGUUAUUCUUUUAUUUUGUUUAUUUUAGUUAAGUUUAAUUUUUUAUAAGAGUUAAUUAGUUAAUGGGUUAUUUUUUGUAAUAAUGAUUGAAUUAGUAUUUUUUGUAAUUAUGUUAUAGGAAUUCGGCAAAUAUAUAUUCGCCUGUUUAACAAAAACAUGUCCUUUUGGUUAUUUAUAUAAGGUCUGGCCUGCCCAAUGAUGGAUAUGAAUGGCCGCGGUAUUUUAACCGUGCUAAGGUAGCGUAAUCAAUUGUCUCUUAAUUAGAGGCUGGAAUGAAAGGUUGGACGAGAUAUAUACUUUCUUUAAUAUAAUAUAUGAAUUUAAUUUUUUAGUUAAAAAGCUAAAAUUUUUUUAAAGGACGAGAAGACCCUAUAGAUCUUUAUAUGAUUAUUCGUUAGGGAAUUUAGUAGAUUUAAUCUUUUAAUGAAUUAAUUUGUAUUUUGUUGGGGUGACUGUAGAAUUUUAUUAACUUCUAUUUUUAUUUAUCAUUAAUUUAUGUUUUUGUGAUCCAGUUUUACUGAUUGUAAGAUUAAGUUACCUUAGGGAUAACAGCGUAAUUUCUCCAGAGAGUUCUCAUUGAUGGAGGAGUUUGCGACCUCGAUGUUGGAUUAAAAUAAGUAAUGUGGUGCAGUAGUUUAUUAACUAGGUCUGUUCGACCUUUGAUUUUUUACAUGAUCUGAGUUCAGACCGGCGUGAGCCAGGUCAGUUUCUAUCCUUAAAUUUUUAUUAUCUUUUAGUACGAAAGGACCAGGGAUAAGAAAUAGUUUUUAUGGUUUGAUUUAUAUU
rnacentral:rRNA from 1 species